AUUGAACGCUGUCGGCAGGCUUAACACAUGCAAGUCGAACGAUGAUUAUCUAGCUUGCUAGAUAUGAUUAGUGGCGGACGGGUGAGUAACAUUUAGGAAUCUGCCUAGUAGUGGGGGAUAGCUCGAGGAAACUCGAAUUAAUACCGCAUACGACCUACGGGUGAAAGGGGGCGCAAGCUCUUGCUAUUAGAUGAGCCUAAAUCAGAUUAGCUAGUUGGUGGGGUAAAGGCCCACCAAGGCGACGAUCUGUAACUGGUCUGAGAGGAUGAUCAGUCACACCGGAACUGAGACACGGUCCGGACUCCUACGGGAGGCAGCAGUGGGGAAUAUUGGACAAUGGGGGCAACCCUGAUCCAGCCAUGCCGCGUGUGAAGAAGGCCUUUUGGUUGUAAAGCACUUUAAGCAGGGAGGAGAGGCUAAUGGUUAAUACCCAUUAGAUUAGACGUUACCUGCAGAAUAAGCACCGGCUAACUCUGUGCCAGCAGCCGCGGUAAUACAGAGGGUGCGAGCGUUAAUCGGAAUUACUGGGCGUAAAGCGAGUGUAGGUGGCUCAUUAAGUCACAUGUGAAAUCCCCGGGCUUAACCUGGGAACUGCAUGUGAUACUGGUGGUGCUAGAAUAUGUGAGAGGGAAGUAGAAUUCCAGGUGUAGCGGUGAAAUGCGUAGAGAUCUGGAGGAAUACCGAUGGCGAAGGCAGCUUCCUGGCAUAAUAUUGACACUGAGAUUCGAAAGCGUGGGUAGCAAACAGGAUUAGAUACCCUGGUAGUCCACGCCGUAAACGAUGUCUACUAGCCGUUGGGGUCCUUGAGACUUUAGUGGCGCAGUUAACGCGAUAAGUAGACCGCCUGGGGAGUACGGCCGCAAGGUUAAAACUCAAAUGAAUUGACGGGGGCCCGCACAAGCGGUGGAGCAUGUGGUUUAAUUCGAUGCAACGCGAAGAACCUUACCUGGUCUUGACAUAGUGAGAAUCCUGCAGAGAUGCGGGAGUGCCUUCGGGAAUUCACAUACAGGUGCUGCAUGGCUGUCGUCAGCUCGUGUCGUGAGAUGUUGGGUUAAGUCCCGCAACGAGCGCAACCCUUUUCCUUAUUUGCCAGCGGGUUAAGCCGGGAACUUUAAGGAUACUGCCAGUGACAAACUGGAGGAAGGCGGGGACGACGUCAAGUCAUCAUGGCCCUUACGACCAGGGCUACACACGUGCUACAAUGGUAGGUACAGAGGGUUGCUACACAGCGAUGUGAUGCUAAUCUCAAAAAGCCUAUCGUAGUCCGGAUUGGAGUCUGCAACUCGACUCCAUGAAGUCGGAAUCGCUAGUAAUCGCAGAUCAGAAUGCUGCGGUGAAUACGUUCCCGGGCCU
rnacentral:rRNA from 1 species